GCCAGGGAGGCGCCGCACUGGGUCCUGCCCAGCCUCUUCGCUUCCUUUCACUUCAGCUCCCUGCUGGCCUUGAGUGGCCUGUUCUUCUCCUUCCCGGGCCGAGGGCCGGGCCGGGUUAGUGAUCCAGGCACUUCAUGUCAAGGAGAGACGCUUUGACCUGCACUGGUGCCAGACGUGCCAGUACUACUGCCCGCCACGGACCGUCCACUGCGCCCGCUGCAACGUCUGCGUGGAGGAGUUCGACCAUCACUGCAAGUGCCUGAACACUUCCUC